GCACAUUUGACCGAGCGGUUAAGGUGCCAGUUUCAGGUACUGGUGGGGCAACCCGCGUAGGUUCGAUUCCUACAGUGUGCA
rnacentral:tRNA from 1 species